rnacentral:rRNA from 1 species
UACGAAGGGGGCUAGCGUUGUUCGGAAUCACUGGGCGUAAAGCGCUCGUAGGCGGAUCUUUAAGUCAGGGGUGAAAUCCCGAGGCUCAACCUCGGAACUGCCUUUGAUACUGGGGAUCUCGAGUCCGGGAGAGGUGAGUGGAACUGCGAGUGUAGAGGUGAAAUUCGUAGAUAUUCGCAAGAACACCAGUGGCGAAGGCGGCUCACUGGCCCGAUACUGACGCUGAUGCACGAAAGCGUGGGGAGCAAACAGG